UACGAAGGGGGCUAGCGUUGCUCGGAAUCACUGGGCGUAAAGGGUGCGUAGGCGGGUCUUUAAGUCAGGGGUGAAAUCCUGGAGCUCAACUCCAGAACUGCCUUUGAUACUGGCGAUCUUGGAGUCCGGGAGAGGUGAGUGGAACUCCGAGUGUAGAGGUGAAAUUCGUAGAUAUUCGGAAGAACACCAGUGGCGAAGGCGGCUCACUGGCCCGGUACUGACGCUGAGGUGCGAAAGCGUGGGGAGCAAACAGG
rnacentral:rRNA from 1 species